rnacentral:tRNA from 1 species
GGUAAUUAGUUUAAUCAAAAUUAAUGAUUUCGACUCAUUAGAUCAUAAUAUAAUUAUGAUUACCA